rnacentral:rRNA from 1 species
UACGAGGGGGGCGAGCGUUGUUCGGAAUUAUUGGGCGUAAAGGGUGCGUAGGCGGCCUGACAAGUCUGAUGUGAAAUCCCUGGGCUCAACCCAGGGCCUGCAUCGGAAACUGUCGGGCUUGAGUAUGGGAGAGGUGAGUGGAAUUUCCGGUGUAGCGGUGAAAUGCGUAGAUAUCGGAAGGAACACCUGUGGCGAAAGCGGCUCACUGGACCAUUACUGACGCUGAGGCACGAAAGCUAGGGGAGCAAAC